GUCACAGGGACUUCCCAAGAUUGUAUGGAGAGAGUCUGACCAAAAGAAUGACAGGAUAUCAGUUGGGCUCAGUAUAAACGAUAUCUCUGUCAAGGUGGAUGAGGAGAGGAAGCCUAGGGCAAGGUAUCUAGCUGCUAAGUUAAUGUUAAGAAAGCUAUUGUCCAAAUACAUCUCCGAUCCUAUCCUCAACAAAUACAACCAACACGAAAAGACCUACAGAAGAGCUCCAGUUUAUGACUCUCACUCCUACCUCACCGGCAAAUCAGUCCCAGCGUGCACGGUUAACUCU